GACGAACGCUGGCGGCGUGCUUAACACAUGCAAGUCGAACGGAAAGGCCCUGCUUUUGUGGGGUGCUCGAGUGGCGAACGGGUGAGUAACACGUGAGUAACCUGCCCUUGACUUUGGGAUAACUUCAGGAAACUGGGGCUAAUACCGGAUAGGAGCUCCUGCUGCAUGGUGGGGGUUGGAAAGUUUCGGCGGUUGGGGAUGGACUCGCGGCUUAUCAGCUUGUUGGUGGGGUAGUGGCUUACCAAGGCUUUGACGGGUAGCCGGCCUGAGAGGGUGACCGGCCACAUUGGGACUGAGAUACGGCCCAGACUCCUACGGGAGGCAGCAGUGGGGAAUAUUGCACAAUGGGCGGAAGCCUGAUGCAGCAACGCCGCGUGCGGGAUGACGGCCUUCGGGUUGUAAACCGCUUUCGCCUGUGACGAAGCGUGAGUGACGGUAAUGGGUAAAGAAGCACCGGCUAACUACGUGCCAGCAGCCGCGGUGAUACGUAGGGUGCGAGCGUUGUCCGGAUUUAUUGGGCGUAAAGGGCUCGUAGGUGGUUGAUCGCGUCGGAAGUGUAAUCUUGGGGCUUAACCCUGAGCGUGCUUUCGAUACGGGUUGACUUGAGGAAGGUAGGGGAGAAUGGAAUUCCUGGUGGAGCGGUGGAAUGCGCAGAUAUCAGGAGGAACACCAGUGGCGAAGGCGGUUCUCUGGGCCUUUCCUGACGCUGAGGAGCGAAAGCGUGGGGAGCGAACAGGCUUAGAUACCCUGGUAGUCCACGCUGUAAACGGUGGGUACUAGGUGUGGGGUCCAUUCCACGGGUUCCGUGCCGUAGCUAACGCUUUAAGUACCCCGCCUGGGGAGUACGGCCGCAAGGCUAAAACUCAAAGGAAUUGACGGGGCCCCGCACAAGCGGCGGAGCAUGCGGAUUAAUUCGAUGCAACGCGUAGAACCUUACCUGGGUUUGACAUGGAUCGGGAGUGCUCAGAGAUGGGUGUGCCUCUUUUGGGGUCGGUUCACAGGUGGUGCAUGGCUGUCGUCAGCUCGUGUCGUGAGAUGUUGGGUUAAGUCCCGCAACGAGCGCAACCCUUGUUCACUGUUGCCAGCACGUUAUGGUGGGGACUCAGUGGAGACCGCCGGGGUCAACUCGGAGGAAGGUGGGGAUGGCGUCAAGUCAUCAUGCCCCUUAUGUCCAGGGCUUCACGCAUGCUGCAAUGGCUGGUACAGAGAGUGGCGAGCCUGUGAGGGUGAGCGAAUCUCGGAAAGCCGGUCUCAGUUCGGAUUGGGGUCUGCAACUCGACCUCAUGAAGUCGGAGUCGCUAGUAAUCGCAGAUCAGCAACGCUGCGGUGAAUACGUUCCCGGGGCU
rnacentral:rRNA from 1 species